rnacentral:lncRNA from 10 species
GCGUCUUGACGGCUGCUCCCCUCCUUUCCUCCCGCCACAAGCGCUCGCUGUGGUUCUGGCAGCGAAGUGCGAGACUGGGCUCGCCAGGCGGAAGUGGUUGGAGACUGCGUGUUUUCCUAGAAAGUCCUCGACCUUCGUCGGGGAGAGGAGGGGAGUGAUAAAUUGGAAGGCGGACAAGCGACAAGUGCGGUACUGGAAAGACCCAAACAUACUUGGUUGUGACCUCAGGUCACAUCUCCCAAGAAGCAGUAAUGUUCCAGCAAUAAGAAAAGGACAGUUUUUUGUCUUUUGCAUGGUGAGCCUUAUAUGAAUUACAUCAAUUUUGUCACCAAUAUCCAUCAUCAGAACAUUUUGGGGAAAAUGCCUAGAGGAGACAUCUUUAUUAAGGCCUUCAGAUGACACUUACCGUCAGUCAAUCGACCCACCUAUAAUGGCUGAAAUAUCAAAAAUCUGAAGGUGUUCUGAGCACAAGACACUUCUCCUCCACACCACCCCCACCCAUCAGCCAGCCAGCUGACUCUGAGGAUGAGGAGGAGGAGGAAGCAGCUGCUACAUCUUCGGGCUUUGCAGACACUGGAGGGACUGCCCUUGCAGGGCUGGAUAACUCCUACAUACAGCAAACAACCUGCUGUCAGCCACCUCUCACACAAAACCAAGUGGGCUAGAGCCCACACCCAGCACACCUUCUUCAUCAGGCCCUUACGCUUCUCGCCAUGAUUCCCCUGCCCUGGUCACCCUAGGGCUAGGUACAAGACAAUUAGGGACAGCCCCUACCUCCUAGCGCCGUCUGUAAUGAUUCAGACUAGCUACUUAUCCUAAUCCUGCUCAUCCUGCUGCACCUUCCUUCCUGUGGAAAACACCAUGGAGGCUCUUGGCAGUGUUUCCCCACAUCCCUCUCCCCUUCACUGACCCUGGCGCUUCCCCAUGUGUCCCCUGUAUGGUGUGGCAUGGGCCCUGUCUCUAGGGAUUUGUGAGUCCAGCACUCCCUCCUUAAUCGUCGUUUUGCUUUCCUCGUUUCAGUUACUUGCGUCAACUGCAGUAAAAGAAUAUUAAGAUAUUUUGAGAGAGAGAAGGGAAGCAAAGAGAGACCACAUUCACAUAACUUUUAUUACAGUAUAUUUUAAUAAUUGUUCUGUAUUAUUAUUAUUGUUGUUAAUCUCUCAUUGUGCCUAAUUUAUAAGUUCAACUUUAUCACAGGUCUGGAUGUAUGGGAGAAAACAGUAUCUAAAAGGUUCGCAGUUUCAGGCAUCCCCAUGAGGCUAAGGGGGGACUACUGUGUAACAAACUUCUUCCUUCAUGACAGUCAUUUCCAGAUCUGUGUGUCUUAUGGUACCUGAUUAAAACAAAUCCCAAAUACCAUUAAAACAGCACUGACUUCAUACUAGGCACUCUAUGCUUUAUGUGGAUUGUGUCAUUCACUUGUGACAAGGGCAAUAUUGGGCAAAUCCUAUCAUUCCCCUGGUUUUAAGGCUGAAAAAACAGAGGCUUAGAGAGGUGUAGUGACUUGCUCAGAGUCCUCGCUGUAGCAUGGGGUAAAGCCAGGAUAUGACUUCACAUAGUUUAACUCCAGAACUUACACUGUCAUCUUGUUUUGUUUUUCUGCUUCUCUUGUGUGUCAAAAGAAUUCCUCCUUAGUUGUUCUCAUAUGGGGCAACCAUUAAAUUAGGCAGUGUAAAAAACAAGUUAUGCAGAAUAAAGUAGCAAGAGCAAUCUACUCUGAAAUUAGUGUUUUCCCUCACUUUAGCACCUUUAGCUGACCCAGCUUCCUACCGCCCAGACAUUUUACAAAAAUCUCUCUCUGGAGUUGCCUCCUGAUCUGGAUUAGGAGUCACAUAAGAAAAUCAGUCUCAUGAGUCCAUCAUUUUUCCUCAUUUCUGACCAGAAGUAUUCUGCCCCAUUUGCUUCACCUUAUUUCUAAAUCACUCUAGCUCAUUUAAACAAACAAACAAACAAACAAACAAACAAUGAAACUUACUGCAAGGGCACAGAAUAACUAUCAUUAAAGAUGUCUGUGUAAUUAUGCCAUAAGUUGCAAGGCAAACUCAUGAAGCAUUCCGUAUGUUCUUUGAGCAGUGGCACUGUGGCUCGAACCAAUGUCCAGCUUCCACACUAUCUGCUUGGAAGAGGAUUACCCUUAUUUGGAAGUCUCAGUUUUGAGGAUUUGGGGAAAGCAGGCACGCAAGCAGACACACCUUAUUCUCUACAGCAUCAUUUAUACCUCAACUAAGUCAGCUGAACAAAUGCCUGCUGAAAAGUUCUGGGAGUGGCAUAGCUAAGAACCAGAAAGGCGAUCUUUCUUUUGGAUUAAGUCAACAGAGUCAUACCCACAAGGAGAACUAUCAAAUAUCAGAUGCGAGAGGUGAAGUGGGGUUAUAAGGUGAGAGCUGAGAAGGGAGAAACAGGGGAUUUGAUUUAGGACAAAUUGUUAUUUGGAUGGAUGCUUGUCUAUUGAGAGAGUAAUUGUUAAACUAAAGGAAACUGGUCACAAAUACUUUAGCAGUGGCUAUAAAUGACCAGUGGGCCAAGGAUUUUGAGAUCGUGAGAGACUUCUCCGGGAAUGUUGUCAUUCAUUUCACUCCAGUGUGGCUCUUUUCCUCCAUCUGCGGAGAACUAUGGCCACUAUGGAGAAUAUGAAAACAUUGCUGAAGGAGGUGAAAGCCAUUUCAGAAGAAGAGUUAUAUAUUAGCUUUUGGCAGUGACAGCGUUAUGGGCACGGACAUUCAGCCUUUCCAGUUGACUGCUUUGAAGGGGCAAUGUUCACGUGGAAGUAUACCUCCUAGUACGUUUGCUAAAAUAAAAUCAGCUUCAUUACCUAAUAACAUAAAUGACUUUGGGAGAAAACUCUGAGUCUCAUGUUUUAUUUUUCCUGAUAAUGCUGUUCAAUUAGGGCAGACUUUGUGGAAAUUCUGAUUUCAUUACCCAUCACUGCUGCAUGAAAAUACGCUUUCUGAAGUCACGCUCUGAAAGAAACUAAGUUGUUUGCUACAACUACCCCUACACAGAAAUUAGAAAAUUAUAUGAGAAGAAGUUUACUUCAGCCUGCAGUUGGGACACAGGUUAUUACUGAAAGUAGUCGUCGGCAUGGUUUCUGGUUUCACAGUAAAAGAAGACGACUUGAAAGGACUCAGUGGUUUUGAUGCUCUUCUGAAAUGAAAACACUCAGUGAGCACAUAGCAUUGGGUUGUCAUUAAUGUCAGCCAAGCGAAAACACUGUCUCCAUGAACACUGCAGUCAUUUCCCCGCCGAGACCAUGACUUUCCACUCCCUGGCAUUUCGGGCACUGUGCUAGUACUUUUCCAAAAGAGACUCUUAAGGCAAUUCAUUCUAGAUAAUCAAACACACACAACAGUCUUAAAUGAAUAGGUGGCCUGAAUUUGCUAAAGUCAGCCAACAAUUUCCAGGGGAGAAUGUGUUAUUUUCUGAGAAAUACUGUAAGGC